UACAGAGGGGGCGAGCGUUGUUCGGAAUUACUGGGCGUAAAGGGCGCGUAGGCGGCCCGCUAAGUCGAACGUGAAAUCCCCAGGCUCAACCUGGGAACUGCGUCCGAUACUGGCAGGCUUGAAUCCGGGAGAGGGAUGUGGAAUUCCAGGUGUAGCGGUGAAAUGCGUAGUUAUUGGGAGGAACACCAGUGGCGAAGGCGGCUCACUGGACCGGUACUGACGCUGAUGCGCGAAAGCGUGGGGAGCAAACGGG
rnacentral:rRNA from 1 species